CCUACGGGUGGCAGCAGUGGGGGAUAUUGCACAAUGGGGGGAACCCUGAUGCAGCGACGCCGCGUGGGUGAAGAAGCGCCUCGGCGCGUAAAGCCCUGUCAGCAGGGAAGAAAAUGACGGUAUCUGUAGAAUAAGCCCCGGCCAACUACGUGCCAGCAGCCGCGGUAAUACGUCGGGGGCAAGCGUGAGCCGGCUUUACUGGGUGUAAAGGGGGCGCAGACGGCGGUGCAAGCCAGGAGUGAAAGCCCGGGGCCCAACCCGGGGACUGCUCUUGGCACUGCGUGGCUGGAGUGCAGGAGGGGCAGGCGGAAUUCCUGGUGUAGCGGUGAAAUGCGUAGAUAUCAGGAGGAACACCGGUGGCGAAGGCGGCCUUCUGGACUGCAACUGACGUUGAGGCGCGAAAGCGUGGGGAGCAAACAGGAUUAGAUACCCGAGUAGUC
rnacentral:rRNA from 1 species